rnacentral:rRNA from 1 species
AUUGAACGCUGGCGGCAUGCUUUACACAUGCAAGUCGAACGGUAACAGGUUAAGCUGACGAGUGGCGAACGGGUGAGUAAUGCAUCGGAACGUGCCCGAUCGUGGGGGAUAACGCAGCGAAAGCUGCGCUAAUACCGCAUACGAUCUGAGGAUGAAAGCGGGGGACCGUAAGGCCUCGCGCGAUCGGAGCGGCCGAUGUCAGAUUAGGUAGUUGGUGGGGUAAAGGCUCACCAAGCCAACGAUCUGUAGCUGGUCUGAGAGGACGACCAGCCACACUGGGACUGAGACACGGCCCAGACUCCUACGGGAGGCAGCAGUGGGGAAUUUUGGACAAUGGGCGAAAGCCUGAUCCAGCAAUGCCGCGUGCAGGAAGAAGGCCUUCGGGUUAUAAACUGCUUUUGUACGGAGCGAAAAGGCUCUCUCUAAUACAGGGGGCUGAUGACGGUACCGUAAGAAUAAGCACCGGCUAACUACGUGCCAGCCGCCGCCGCAGUAA